GAGCGAUCAGUGUUUUCCUUGUGCUGUUUCUUAACGUUCCUUGUGCUAACACACGCACGAGACUGCACGCAAAUCAUGUAUCCACUAGGUAUGCAUCAUAGUAACACAUAUAUGCAUCAAUUCAUACCUGUCAGCGAAGUCUUGUUAACGAACAUAACGUGAGCGAACAUAAACAAACAAAGGCCAGCUGAUAGCAGUCUCACGCCAGAGUGUCCACCACAACAAUGGCUUCGGAUCUCCGCGACAGGAUUUUCCAUUUUAAUGAGAAUUUAGUCCCGCUUAAGCAACUAAUUCUUAACAACCAGUAUCCACCAGGCUUGACUGGAAAUCAAAGGAGAAUUUUGAGAAGACAGAGGGAACAUCACAUGAUAAAAGAGAACCAGCUGUAUCGCAAGAGAAGAAACAAAUGGGUUCAGAUUCCUUCAACACUGGGAGAAGUGAUGGAUAUUCUGCUUUUUUAUCAUGUCACAAGUGGCUGUCAUGCUGGUGUUGAUAAAACCAAGUCCAGGAUUUCUGACCAUUAUUACUGGCUUGGUAUGUCAAGGGACGUCAUUGCAUAUAUAUCAACUUGUACAACUUGCCAGACUUUUGAGGUUGUAAAGACACAAGCUCCCACACUUAAACAAAUUAAGGUGUCUCAACCCAUGGAAGUCGUAGGCAUGGAUCUUAUUGGUAAGUGUUUUGGUGUAUUUAUCGCCUCUACAUCAAUGGAUAAUAUUUAAUAAUGUUUAGUCCAUUUCUUUCAUGCUUUGUUGGUGGACAGACGGAAUGAAACAGAUUAUAGUUAUUGCUGUCAAAUUAACACACACACAUAUUUAUACAUGUGUGCAGUAUCU